CCUACGGGAGGCAGCAGUGGGGAAUAUUGCACAAUGGGGGAAACCCUGAUGCAGCGACGCAGCGUGCGGGAUGACGGCCUUCGGGUUGUAAACCGCUUUCAGCAGGGAAGAAGCGCAAGUGACGGUACCUGCAGAAGAAGUACCGGCUAACUACGUGCCAGCAGCCGCGGUAAU
rnacentral:rRNA from 1 species